GCUAACAACCCGUUUAAGGGGGGUUAUAUUUCGGCUAUGGCUUUGGUGGGUUGGGCCUCCUGUUAGUU
rnacentral:tRNA from 1 species